AGCGAACGCUGGCGGCAGGCUUAACACAUGCAAGUCGAGCGCCCCGCAAGGGGAGCGGCAGACGGGAGAGUAACACGUGGGAACAUACCUUUUGGUUCGGAACAACUGAGGGAAACUUCAGCUAAUACCGGAUAAGCCCUUACGGGGAAAGAUUUAUCGCCGAAAGAUUGGCCCGCGUCUGAUUAGCUAGUUGGUGAGGUAACGGCUCACCAAGGCGACGAUCAGUAGCUGGUCUGAGAGGAUGAUCAGCCUCACUGGGACUGAGGCACGGCCCAGACUCCUACGGGAGGCAGCAGUGGGGAAUAUUGGACAAGGGGGGCAACCCUGAUCCAGCCAUGCCGCGUGAGUGAUGAAGGCCUUAGGGUUGUAAAGCUCUUUUGCCCGGGAAGAUAAUGACGGUACCGGGAGAAUAAGCCCCGGCUAACUUCGUG
rnacentral:rRNA from 1 species